UGAUGUAAAGUGAAGAGGAAGAAAGGAAGAAAGGAAGAAAGGAAGAAAGGAAGAAAGGAAGAAAGGAAGAAAGGAAGAAAGGAAGAAAGGAAGAAAGGAAGAAAGGAAGAAAGGAAGAAAGGAAGAAAGGAAGAAAGAAAGAAAGAAAGAAAGAAAGAAAGAAAGAAAGAAAGAAAGAAAGAAAGAAAGAAAGAAAGAAAGAACACUGGGCUCUCUAGAACUCACAUGUACCA
rnacentral:lncRNA from 1 species